rnacentral:rRNA from 1 species
AUUGAACGCUAGCGGGAUGCUUUACACAUGCAAGUCGAACGAGUGGCGGACGGGUGAGUAAUAUAUCGGAACGUGCCCAGUAUCGGGGGAUAACUACUCGAAAUAGUGGCUAAUACCGCAUACUAUUGGUGCGGCCGAUAUCGGAUUAGCGAGUUGGUGGGGUAAAGGCGCACCAAGGCAACGAUACGUAGCUGGUUUGAGAGGACGACCAGCCACACGGGGACGGAGACACGGGCCAGACUCCUACGGGAGGCAGCAGUGGGGAAUGUUGGACAAUGGGUGAAAACCUGAUACAGCCAUCCCGCGUGUAUGAGAAGGCCUUCGGGUUGUAAAGUACUUUUGGCAGAGAAGCGGUAUCUGCAGAAUAAGCACCGGCUAACUACGUGCCAGCCGCCGCGGUAAUUC